rnacentral:rRNA from 1 species
AGCUCCAAGAGCGUAUAUUAAAGUUGUUGCAGUUAAAAGCUCGUAGUUGGAUUUCUGGUACAAUGCGCCUGGCCCGCGACGGUUACGUCUGUGAGUGCCGGUGCGCGUUUGCCAUCCUUCUAGAGAACGUUGCUACCCUUUACUGGGCUGGUUUCGCGAUCUAGAUCUUUUACUUUGAAAAAUUAGAGUGUUCAAAGCAGGCUGUUGCUGUGCAUACAUUAGCAUGGAAUAAUAAUCUAGGACUUCGGUUCUAUUUUGUUGGUUUCUAGUACUGAAGUAAUGAUUGAUAGGGAUAGUUGGGGGUGCUAGUAUUGGCCGGCCAGAGGUGAAAUUCUUGGAUUCGGUCAAGACUAACUUAUGCGAAAGCAUUCACCAAGGAUGUCUUCU